rnacentral:rRNA from 1 species
UACGGAGGGUGCAAGCGUUAUUCGGAAUUACUGGGCGUAAAGCGCGCGCAGGCGGGUAGGCAAGUCUGAUGUGAAAGCCCUGGGCUCAACCUGGGAAGUGCAUUGGAAACUGCCUAUCUUGAGUGCUGGAGAGGAAGGGGGAAUUCCCGGUGUAGAGGUGAAAUUCGUAGAGAUCGGGAGGAAUACCAGUGGCGAAGGCGCCCUUCUGGACGGCAACUGACGCUGAGACGCGAAAGCGUGGGGAGCAAACAGG